UGCCCAGACACCUACGGGUGGCUGCAGUCGAGAAUCUUCGGCAAUGGACGCAAGCCUGACCGAGCGACGCCGCGUGCGGGACGAAGGCCUUCGGGUUGUAAACCGCUGUCGAGGGGGAUUAAGGGCAACUUGAAAGAACCCUGGAGGAAGGAGAGGCUAAGCUCGUGCCAGCAGCCGCGGUAAGACGAGCUCUCCAAACGUUAUUCGGUAUCACUGGGCUUAAAGAGUUCGUAGGCGGCUUUGCAGGUGGGGUGUGAAAGCCCUCGGCUCAACCGAGGAAUUGCGCCCCAAACCGCAAGGCUUGAGGGAUAUAGGGGUAAGCGGAACAGAUGGUGGAGCGGUGAAAUGCAUUGAUAUCAUCUGGAACACCGGUGGCGAAGGCGGCUUACUGGAUAUUUUCUGACGCUGAGGAACGAAAGCCAGGGUAGCGAACGGGAUUAGAUACCCCGGUAGUCCUAGCCGUAAACGAUGAGCACUAGUUUGAAGGACUCUCACAGUCUUUCGAACGUAGCGAAAGUGUUAA
rnacentral:rRNA from 1 species